rnacentral:misc_RNA from 1 species
GAUGAAGAACGUAGCGAAAUGCGAUAAUUAAUGUGAAUUGCAGAAUUCAGUGAAUCAUCGAGUCUUUGAACGCACAUUGCGCCCCCUGGUAUUCCGGGGGGCAUGCCUGUCCGAGCGUCAUUGCUGCCCUCAAGCCCGGCUUGUGUGUUGGGCCUCGUCCCCCCUCCGGGGGACGGGCCCGAAAGGCAGCGGCGGCACCGUGUCCGGUCCUCGAGCGUAUGGGGCUUCGUCACCCGCUCUUGUAGGCCCGGCCGGCGCUUGCCGACACAUCAAUCUUUUUUCCAGGUUGACCUCGGAUCAGGUAGGGAUACCCGCUGAACUUAAGCAUAUCAAUAAGCGGAGGA